AGUGAACGCUGGCGGUAGGCCUAACACAUGCAAGUCGAACGGCAGCACAGUAAGAGCUUGCUCUUACGGGUGGCGAGUGGCGGACGGGUGAGGAAUACAUCGGAAUCUACUUUUUCGUGGGGGGUAACGUAGGGAAACUUACGCUAAUACCGCAUACGACCUACGGGUGAAAGCAGGGGAUCUUCGGACCUUGCGCGAUUGAAUGAGCCGAUGUCGGAUUAGCUAGUUGGCGGGGUAAAGGCCCACCAAGGCGACGAUCCGUAGCUGUCUGAGAGGAUGAUCAGCCACACUGGAACUGAGACACGGUCCAGACUCCUACGGGAGGCAGCAGUGGGGAAUAUUGGACAAUGGGCGCAAGCCUGAUCCAGCCAUACCGCGUGGGUGAAGAAGGCCUUCGGGUUGUAAAGCCCUUUUGUUGGGAAAGAAAAGCAGCAGGUUAAUACCCCGCUGUUCUGACGGUACCCAAAGAAUAAGCACCGGCUAACUUCGUG
rnacentral:rRNA from 1 species